rnacentral:rRNA from 1 species
GACGAACGCUGGCGGCGUGCUUAACACAUGCAAGUCGAACGAAGAGCGAUGGAAGCUUGCUUCUAUCAAUCUUAGUGGCGAACGGGUGAGUAACGCGUAAUCAACCUGCCCUUCAGAGGGGGACAACAGUUGGAAACGACUGCUAAUACCGCAUACGAUCUAAUCUCGGCAUCGAGGAUAGAUGAAAGGUGGCCUCUACAUGUAAGCUAUCACUGAAGGAGGGGAUUGCGUCUGAUUAGCUAGUUGGAGGGGUAACGGCCCACCAAGGCGAUGAUCAGUAGCCGGUCUGAGAGGAUGAACGGCCACAUUGGGACUGAGACACGGCCCAGACGCCUACGGGAGGCAGCAGUGGGGAAUCUUCCGCAAUGGACGAAAGUCUGACGGAGCAACGCCGCGUGAGGGAUGACGGCCGUCGGGUUGUAAAGCUCUGUUAAUCGGGACGAAAGGCCUUCUUGCGAAUAGUGAGAAGGAUUGACGGUACCGGAAAAGAAAGCCACGGCUAACUACGUG